GGACAGUUGCCAGAGUGGUCGAAUGGGCUCGCCUGGAAAGCGGGUGUGGCGGCAACGUCACCGUGGGUUCGAAUCCCACACUGUCCGCCA
rnacentral:tRNA from 1 species